rnacentral:lncRNA from 1 species
CAACCAAAAUCAGUUAAUGCUGAUAGUAAGUGCUGAUGCACUUAGCCUGGAUGCUAGAGCGCUAGGAAAAUAUUUCUCAAGUGGUUAACUUGAGUUUGACUUCCAACAUCUCUUUAUUUGGCAAGAAAUGAAUUCAACGGUUCUUUUUAGUGCUUGUGAAAAUGAAGGAUAGUUGUGCCUGCACUGCAAGAAAGGUGAUUUAGUCACUGUACUUGAUCAGUAUUUUUUUGAGGGAGACUUGCCAAAUUCAUCAGUGCUGAUCUGGAAGCCAAAAUAGAUAUCCAUGUGUUCUGAGGAGAAGAAAUGCUGAAAUGCAGCUGGAAAGCAGCUCAAGGCUCCUGCCAGUCGUACUGGCUCACUGCUAAGAGUUUAUUUACAUCCUACAAGGAAGCUUCUCCAGACCCA